rnacentral:rRNA from 1 species
UACAGAGGGUGCGAGCGUUAAUCGGAAUUACUGGGCGUAAAGCGCACGUAGGUGGCGACGUAAGUCGGGUGUGAAAGCCCCGGGCUCAACCUGGGAAUUGCAUUCGAGACUGCAUUGCUGGAGUACGGAAGAGGAAGGCGGAAUUCCCGGUGUAGCGGUAAAAUGCGUAGAUAUCGGGAGGAACAUCAGUGGCGAAGGCGGCCUUCUGGUCCAGUACUGACACUCAAGUGCGAAAGCGUGGGGAGCAAACAGG